rnacentral:rRNA from 1 species
CAGCUAGCUUAUUCACCAAUAUAACCAAACAAUAUAAAUAAAAUAGAAUAGACCAAACGCCAAAAACUAAAUCAUUCUUUUACCUGAGUAUGGGAGACAGAAAAGGUUCAUUCAAAAGCAAUAGAAAUAGUACCGCAAGGGAAAGCUGAAAGAGAAAUGAAACAACCCAUAUAAGUACCAAAAAGCAAAGACUAAACCUUGUACCUUUUGCAUCAUGAUUUAGCUAGUAAAUGCAAGCAAAGAGACCUUUAGUUUGAAACCCCGAAACCAGGUGAGCUACCCCGAGACAGCCUAUUAAGGGCCAACCCGUCUCUGUGGCAAAAGAGUGGGAAGAGCUCCGGGUAGAAGUGACAGACCUACCGAACCUGGUGAUAGCUGGUUGCCUAAGAAAUGAAUAGAAGUUCAGCCUCAUAUACCUCAAAUCAAACAAACACUAAGCAAGAUACUAAGAGAAAAACACGAGAGUUAGUUGAAGGGGGUACAGCCCCUUUAACAAAGGAUACAACCUUAUUCAGGAGGAUAAAGAUCAUAAUAUAUAAAACAUACUGUUCUAGUGGGCCUAAAAGCAGCCACCUAAACAGAAAGCGUUAAAGCUCAGACAGAAGUAAGUUUAUUAUUCUGAUAAAAAAUCUUACUCCCCUAAAUAUUAUUAGGCUAAUCCAUGCCACCAUGGAAGAAAUUAUGCUAAAAUGAGUAACAAGAAGGCUCGCCCUUCUCCAAGCACAAGUGUAAGCCAAAUCGGACCAACCAUUGGCAAUUGACGAACUCAACCCAAGAGAGCAUUGUGAAUCAUAAAAAGAACAAGAAAAAUCCACAACUUAAUAAUCGUUAACCCCACACUGGAGCGCAUUAAAAGGAAAGACUAAAAGAAAAGGAAAGGAACUCGGCAAACACAAGCCUCGCCUGUUUACCAAAAACAUCGCCUCCUGCAACACAGCCAUGUAUAGGAGGUCCAGCCUGCCCAGUGACUACAAGUUCAACGGCCGCGGUAUUUUGACCGUGCAAAGGUAGCGCAAUCACUUGUCUUUUAAAUAGAGACCUGUAUGAAUGGCUAAACGAGGGCUUAACUGUCUCCCCUUUCAAGUCAGUGAAAUUGAUCUGCCCGUGCAGAAGC